rfam:Wickerhamomyces anomalus NRRL Y-366-8 unplaced genomic scaffold WICANscaffold_4, whole genome shotgun sequence.
GGCACUUUGGCCGAGUGGUUAAGGCGAAAGACUUGAAUUAAAAAACAAGGUAUCUUUUGGGAUUUUCCCGCGCAGGUUCGAGUCCUGCAGGUGUCG